UACAGGGGGGGCAAGCGUUGUUCGGAAUUACUGGGCGUAAAGGGCUCGUAGGUGGCCGACUAAGUCAGACGUGAAAUCCCUCAGCUUAACUGGGGAACUGCGUCUGAUACUGGAUGGCUUGAGUUUGGGAGAGGGAUGCGGAAUUCCAGGUGUAGCGGUGAAAUGCGUAGAUAUCUGGAGGAACACCGGUGGCGAAGGCGGCAUCCUGGACCAACACUGACACUGAGGAGCGAAAGCCAGGGGAGCGAACGGG
rnacentral:rRNA from 1 species